rnacentral:rRNA from 1 species
UACGUAGGUGGCAAGCGUUGUCCGGAUUUAUUGGGUUUAAAGGGUGCGUAGGCGGUCUUAUAAGUCAGUGCUGAAAUAUCCCGGCUUAACCGGGAGGGUGGCAUUGAUACUGCAAGACUUGAGUAGAGUUGAGGUUGGCGGAAUUGACGGUGUAGCGGUGAAAUGCGCAGAUAUCGGGAGGAACACCGGUGGCGAAGGCGGUUCUCUGGGCCUGUACUGACGCUGAGGAGCGAAAGCGUGGGGAGCGAACAGGAAUUAGAUACCCGUAGUAA